GCCUAGAUCUUGGCUAAGUGGUUUACAGCGCGGCACUUGUAUAAAGAGCUCUCGUGAGAGCUAAUAGACAUGCCGAGAUCACUCGUUCAACUCGGGUAGUGGGCA